GAAUUUUGGACAAUGGGGGAAACCCUGAUCCAGCCAUCCCGCGUGUGCGAUGAAGGCCUUCGGGUUGUAAAGCACUUUUGGCAGGGAAGAAAAGCCGCGGGUUAAUACCCUGCGGUGCUGACGGUACCUGCAGAAUAAGCACCGGCUAACUACGUGCCAGCAGCCGCGGUAAUACGUAGGGUGCAAGCGUUAAUCGGAAUUACUGGGCGUAAAGCGUGCGCAGGCGGUUCGGCAAGAAGGAUGUGAAAUCCCGGGGCUUAACCUCGGAACUGCAUUCUUAACUGCCGGGCUAGAGUAUGUCAGAGGGGGGUAGAAUUCCGCGUGUAGCAGUGAAAUGCGUAGAGAUGCGGAGGAAUACCGAUGGCGAAGGCAGCCCCCUGGGAUAAUACUGACGCUCAUGCACGAAAGCGUGGGGAGCAAACAG
rnacentral:rRNA from 1 species